AUGCCGGCAGGAACCAAUGGUGGGCACAGUUACGUAUCAGCACAGGGGGGCCACAAGUUUAUGGGUGAACAUGCGCACCCUGGCGGCGGAGCGGCCCAAGCGCUGGCUGAGGGGCCCGCGACCCAGGGCGCGCCGCCCCCGACCCCUGCCGCUCCCACUCCCCGCCGGCAGGGGACGGGAUUUCUCUCUGGGACAGCUGGCCCGCGUUUUGCUGGCCCUGCUUCUGUGAUCCUACUGGGUUGGAACCAGGGAUCCAGUAGGCUCGAAGUGGCCUCAGACGAAUAUUUAGAAGAUGUUUCAAAGAAGGUGAAAAGUGGGCUAAUGUUUGUAAAACUGGUUAACUGGUGUUCAGGAGACGGAGCCAUUUAGUUGUUCGCUAUGUGUCUACAGCAGCUGUUUGAAGUAAAAGUUUUCAACCAUUCUUGGUUUAUAAAUCAAUCAGUUCAAUCAAGAGGCCGUCUCCACUUUGCCACACCUGUGGAUCCUCUAGUUCUGCUGCUCCACUACCUCAUAAAGGCUGAUGAGGAGGGGAAGUUUCAGCCCCUCCCUAUCAAGUUGUGGUGGAUAACGUGUUUGCAAAUUGCAUCUUGUUGCUGAAACUUCCUGAACUUGAGAAGUUACUUCACCGUGUGACAGAGGAAAAAGAAAUAGACAACAAGAAAUGUUACAAGUACAGCGAAAAGAAGACAUUAAAGUGGCUGGAAGAAAAGGUUAAACUACGGCAGCAUUAAAAACCAGUAAUGUGAAUGUCAUUUCCCGGGUACAGUCAACUGCAUUUUUCUCUGGUGACCAAGUUUCCGCUGACAAGGAAGAGGAUUAUAUUCUUUAUGCCCAUGGCCUGAUAUCUGAUUACAUCCCUAAAGAAUUAAGUAAUGACUUAUCUAAAUACUUAAAGCUUCCAGAACCUUCAGCCUCAUUGCCAAAUCCUCCAUCAAAGCAAAUAAGGUUAUCAGAUGAGCCUGUAGAAGCAAAAGAAGAUUACACUAAGUUUAAUACUAAGGAUUUGAAGACUGAAAAGAAAAAUAGCAAAAUGACUGCAGCUCAGAAGGCUUUGGCUAAAGCUGACAAGAGUGGAAUGAAAAGUAUUGAUACCUUUUUUUGGUGUAAAAAAUUAAAAAUGGGAAACGUUUGAAAUUUUGGAAAAAAAAAAAGAGACAGUGUGACCUGAGGUAGUCAGGACCGAGAGUGGACAAGGGCUGGUUGUCUUCUCUCCAGCUGGGCUGACAGUGGGAAGCAUCCCAUGGUACAAGGUGAGUUUGCCAUUUCAAUGGGAGGAAGUCAUCUUCUGCAUCCUCUUGUGAUCUUCUGUGGUAUGUUUUGGAGAAAAUAGCUCAAAUGCAUUUCACACCUAUAAUUUGAUUGCUUGGAAAGGACCCCAGGCCUUGGCAGAGCCAGUGGUGAGAUCCUGUGGUGACGAGCCCGUGGUCCCCUGGGGUCCUGCUUCCGCAGCCCGGCUGACGUGGAAGUGACAGCAUUCACGUUUCUCCCACAUAGAGACACUUGGAUUCCUGUUCUAUUUUAGGCUCAUGGAAGGUUCCAAGGGUGACUGAUAUUCCCCAGCAUGCACAGGGGAUCUCUUUUCCAUCUCCGUCUGUGCUACCAUACUAUCCAUUCUUGUCCCCACUCCGUGAUGUAUUCGUAUUUAUCAAAGGCAGAUUUGCAUUACCGUUUCUAAAAUGCCAUUUCUUUCAACCUAAGUUACCAUCCCCACUCCCUCUGCCACCUUCUG